GACGAACCGAGCGAACGUUAUUCGGAAUCACUGGGCUUAAAGGGUGCGUAGGCGGGUCCGUCAGUCAGGGGUGAAAUCCCACGGCCCAACCGUGGAAGUGCCUCUGAUACUGCGGGCCUAGAGGGGGGAUAGGGGCGUGCGGAACUUCCGGUGGAGCGGUGAAAUGCGUAGAUAUCGGAAGGAACACCGGUGGCGAAAGCGGCGCGCUGGAUCCCCACUGACGCUGAGGCACGAAAGCCAGGGGAGCAAACGGG
rnacentral:rRNA from 1 species